UGACUGGAUAAUGUUUGAGGACCACCGAAACAUAUGAGUCGGUCAGAUGUUGUUGAUGGCUCCACCCCUGCUACCUGUACAUCUCUCUAGCCAUCUUCCAAACAGAUCUGACCCGGUAGCCGCAUAUCAGCUGGCCGCUGCUGAAGCAAGAAGAGGACAAACAAACCUAUGGAAAGCGUUAUCACAAAUCUUUUCUGAAAGGGAAUGAAUUAGAAAAUCGCGGUUAUAAAGAGAGAAAGUAGUCUUCAACAGCUAGCGAGAGCGCUAAAUGUACCAGAAGGAACGGACACGGAAAGCGGCGAUUGGUUCUCAACAAGGUGGAGUUUUGUGAGCGAGGGCGCAUCGAUUGCGCUUUACGUUAUUCUGUUACCAGAUGCAGGAACCUGAACGACAGGUUGCGCGAAGAUAAUAGCUGCCUUUUCUGGAAAUAUUGAACCGUUACACCAGAAGAAACAAGCAAAGAACAACAGUAAUUGGAUUUCCUAUAUGGAAUUAAAUGAAAGAGUUUUAAAGAAAUAUCAGAUUUUUUACAUACAUUUCGCAUUUAGAUAUGUCUUCUUUUACUAUGUGUGAAUGACUGCUGUAUAUGGAACUAUCACAUCCUGUCAUUCGAAGUGAAGUUUGUGCGUAACAGGUCGCUGAGAACACAACAUUUACAUAGAAGAAGAAGGACUGAUGAAAACGGACCGGGCAGAGUAGAGGAAGAAGAAGGUAGUUAGUUUAAGCAAUAUGGCUGAAUUGUGGGGUAGGGGACACUGGCUGGAACUACUCAAAGAGUCUGGAUGCUAGUUAUAGAACAUGGCAACAUAUCACUGGGCAUCGGUAGCCUCAGAAUAAUGCCUAAAGGUAAACAUAGUUACUAUCCGGACUCUCCCUCUAUCCGCAUAUCCAAGAUGGAUGUGAUCAUCCCGUUUUCCCCAGAUGUGCCCUGUGAUAGCAACGGGCAGCGCAUGUGGUGGGCUUUCCUUGCCUCCUCCAUGGUUACGUUCUUUGGGGGUCUCUUCAUCAUUCUUCUCUGGAGAACUCUCAACUACCUGUGGACCGUCUGCUGCCACUGUAAUACCAAAAAAAAGAAGGUUCAGCGGGUCCAUCACCCUAUCUCCCAUGGGGAUGGCAUCAAGCACACCAAGGAGACGGUGGCUGCGCUCAGCGAGGUGGGCUGGAUGACCUCCGUCAAAGAUUGGGCCGGGGUCAUGAUAUCAGCCCAGACACUGACGGGCAGAGUCCUGGUGGUGCUUGUCUUUGCCCUCAGCAUCGGAGCCCUUGUAAUAUACUUCAUAGAUUCCUCUGACCCCAUCGAGUCCUGUCAGAACUUCUACAAAGACUUCACGCUACAGAUCGACAUGGCUUUCAACGUCUUCUUCCUCUUGUACUUUGGUCUGCGGUUCAUAGCGGCCAAUGACAAGCUGUGGUUCUGGCUGGAGGUGAACUCAGUGGUGGACUUCUUCACUGUUCCCCCGGUGUUCGUGUCUGUCUAUCUCAACAGGAGCUGGCUUGGCUUACGGUUUUUAAGGGCCUUAAGAUUGAUACAGUUCUCAGAAAUCUUACAGUUUUUGAAUAUAUUAAAAACAAGCAAUUCCAUAAAACUGGUGAACUUGUGUUCAAUCUUCAUAAGCACAUGGCUAACAGCUGCAGGCUUCAUACAUUUGGUGGAAAACUCAGGGGAUCCUUGGGAAAACUUCCAAAAUUCCCAGUCACUUUCCUACUGGGAAUGUGUCUACUUACUGAUGGUUACCAUGUCCACUGUGGGCUAUGGAGACGUGUACGCCAAAACUACCCUGGGACGACUUUUCAUGGUGUUCUUCAUCCUCGGUGGUUUGGCCAUGUUUGCGAGCUACGUCCCUGAAAUCAUAGAGUUAAUAGGAAACCGCAAGAAAUAUGGUGGUUCCUAUAGUGCUGUUAAUGGGAGAAAGCACAUCGUGGUCUGUGGUCAUAUUACCCUUGAAAGUGUGUCCAACUUCCUAAAAGACUUCCUACACAAGGACAGGGAUGAUGUCAAUGUAGAAAUUGUUUUUCUCCAUAAUAUUUCCCCUAAUCUUGAGCUGGAAGCCUUGUUUAAACGGCACUUCACCCAGGUGGAGUUCUACCAGGGAUCUGUUCUCAACCCACACGACCUGGCCAGAGUCAAGAUAGAGUCAGCAGAUGCCUGUUUGAUCCUAGCUAAUAAAUACUGUGCAGACCCUGAUGCUGAGGAUGCUUCCAACAUCAUGAGGGUGAUAUCCAUCAAGAACUACCACCCGAAGAUCAGAAUCAUUACCCAGAUGUUGCAGUACCACAACAAGGCCCACCUGUUAAACAUUCCCAGUUGGAACUGGAAGGAGGGUGACGAUGCCAUUUGCCUUGCUGAGCUGAAGCUGGGCUUCAUCGCACAGAGCUGUCUGGCUCAGGGCCUCUCCACCAUGCUGGCCAACCUCUUCUCCAUGAGGUCCUUUAUCAAGAUUGAAGAGGACACGUGGCAGAAGUAUUACCUGGAAGGAGUAGCCAAUGAAAUGUAUACUGAGUACCUGUCUAGUGCCUUUGUGGGCUUAUCCUUCCCCACCAUUUGUGAACUCUGCUAUGUGAAGCUAAAGCUGCUACUGAUCGCUAUCGAGUACAAGUCUGAUAUACGGGAAAGCAGCACUCUCAUCAACCCUGGGAACCAUGUGAAGAUGCAGGAAGGAACCUUGGGGUUCUUUAUCGCCAGCGAUGCCAAAGAAGUUAAGAGGGCACUUUUCUACUGCAAAGCUUGCCACGAUGACAUCACAGAUCCCAAAAGGAUAAAGAAAUGUGGAUGCAAGCGAUCAAAAAAUAACUUUAACGGAUAUAUCAAAUCAAUGGAAGAGGAGCAGCAGUCAGCUGUUUCGCCUAAAAAGAAACAAGGCAAUGGAAACACGAGGAACUCACCCAACAGUUCACCAAAAAUGAUGAGGCAUGACCCUCUCCUCAUGCCGGGGAACGAACAGAUUGAGAACAUGGACGUGAACGUGAAAAAGUACGACUCCACAGGGAUGUUCCACUGGUGCCAGUCCAAAGACAUCGAGAAGGUCAUCUUGACCCGGAGCGAAGCUGCCAUGACUGUUCUAAGCGGCCACGUGGUUGUCUGUAUAUUUGGAGACGCAAAGUCUGCUUUGGUGGGCCUUAGGAACCUUGUGAUGCCUCUGAGAGCUAGCAACUUCCACUACCACGAGCUGAAACCCAUCGUGUUUGUGGGUUCUCUGGAGUACCUGAAGAGGGAAUGGGAGACCCUUCACAACUUCCCCAAAGUCUCCAUCUUACCUGGCACACCAUUAAGCCGGGCCGAUCUGAGGGCCGUCAAUAUCAACCUCUGUGACAUGUGUGUCAUCCUGUCGGCCAAUCAGAGCAAUAUCGACGACGCUUCACUGCAGGAUAAGGAAUGCAUCCUGGCGUCACUCAACAUCAAGUCUAUGCAGUUUGACGACAGCAUCGGGGUGUUGCAGGCUACCUCCCAAGGUUUCACCCUGCCAGGCAUGGACAGGUCCUCUCCUGAAAACAGUCCAGUUCAUGGAGGGUUGGUACGACAGGCUUCCAUCACAACAGGAGCCAAUGUCCCCAUCAUCACUGAACUAGCACCGUUAGUAAAACCAGCAGGCAAAGUCCUACCUGUGAUUUCAUUCAGUCAGGAUACAAGCAGUGGGAUCAACAUACACAUAAUAACAGAACUGGUGAACGACUCCAAUGUUCAGUUCCUGGACCAGGAUGAUGACGACGAUCCUGACACAGAGUUGUACCUCACUCAGCCCUUCGCCUGUGGGACGGCUUUCGCAGUCAGCGUGCUGGAUUCCCUGAUGAGUGCUACAUACUUCAACGAUAAUAUCCUCACCCUGAUCCGGACGCUGGUAACAGGGGGGGCCACUCCGGAGCUGGAGGGUCUGUUGGCGGAGGAGAACGCAUUACGAGGAGGUUACAGCACGCCGCAGACCCUCGCUAACCGGGACAGGUGUCGUGUUGCACAGCUAGCCUUGUACGACGGGCCUUUCGCUGACUUGGGGGAUGGCGGUUGCUACGGUGACUUGUUUUGUAAAGCGUUAAAAACAUACAACAUGCUUUGCUUUGGAAUUUACCGAUUGAGGGACGCCCAUCUAAACACACAAAGUCAUACAAGUCAAUGCACUAAACGAUAUGUAAUAACCAACCCACCGUAUGGUUUUGAGCUGGUGCCAUCAGACCUGAUCUUCUGCCUGAUGCAGUUUGACCACAACGCGGGUCAGUCCCAGGCCAGCCUCACCCAUAGCUCCCACUCCUCCCAUUCCUCCAGCAAAAAGAGCUCCUCCGUCCAUUCCAUCCCCGCCACCAACCGCACCAACCGCGCCAAGACCAGGGACUCACGGGAUAAACAAAAGAUAUCAUGAACCGUUACUGAGGUUGCUGAGUGAAUACUACUGUGGUUAGUAUUGUAGGAUGAAUAGAAUGGGCCAAGAAAAGACAUGCUUUACAGAUGAGCCUGAGAACGCAGCCUACCCCAGGAAGUCACACUGUAGUCACACAGCCAACCCCCAGGUCAACCACCAGGCCAACCACCAGGUCAACCACCAGGUCAACCAGGACCCUUACAAAUCCACCAACAACCUCAUCCCAUCCAUCAGAGAGGUGGAGGAUGAAUACUGAACUACAGAACCCUAUGUUGACACCUACAGUAGAACCCACCUGGAACUAGAACCCAAGAACAGCUAGAACCCACCUGCAGAACACCUGGAACUGGAACCCCAAAACAGCUAGAACCCACCUACAGAACACCUGGAACUAAAACCCAAGAACAGCUAGAACCCACCUAUAGAACACCUGGAACUAAAACCCAAGAACAGCUAGAACCCACCUAUAGAACACCUGGAACUAAAAUCCAAGAACAGCUAGAACCCACCUACAGAACACCUGGAACUAAAACCCAAGAACAGCUAGAACCCACCUACAGAACACCUGGAACUAAAAUCCAAGAACAGAUAGAACCCACCUACAGAACACCUGGAACUAAAACCCAAGAACAGCUAGAACCCACCUAUAGAACACCUGGAACUAAAAUCCAAGAACAGCUAGAACCCACCUACAGAACACCUGGAACUAAAAUCCAAGAACAGCUAGAACCCACCUACAGAACACCUGGAACUAAAACCCAAGAACAGCUAGAACCCACCUACAGAACACCUGGAACUAAAACCCAAGAACAGCUAGAACCCACCUACAGAACACCUGGAACUAAAACCCAAGAACAGCUAGAACCCACCUACAGAACGCAUGAAACUAGAACCCAAGAACAGAUGGAACCCACCUAGAGAACGCAUGAAACUAGAACCCUGAUCCAGUGGAACUGGAUUCUGAAGAACACUUUAAAGCUAGAAUCCUUAGUUGCUACAUCAAUUUAUGGACUUAUAAAUGAAAGAUCACAACAUCAAUGCUGCAUAAUAAACCUCAUGGAAAAGUGCAUAUGUACAGUAGCUACAGUAACAUCAUAUCAGCAGGCUUUUUGACAUGUUUUUAUACAUAUGAAUAUAUAACUGAAGUAAUAGACAUAUACAUACAAUCAGAUGUCAAUCAAAUGUACAGUCAGUCAGUCACUAAUGCUAACACUCAGCCAUGUAGUUUGCACAGCCAGUUGCUUAGUGACCAGACUGAGGGUCGCUUCAGUCAGAGUAGCAAAGCAACGCAAUGCAAGAUAACAUACGAUGAAGCAUUAUAAUAGAGUGUUAUCAAACUGGACUGAUUAUUUGCCAAUAAAAACCAUAUACAUUGUU